rnacentral:rRNA from 1 species
GGGCCCGCACAAGCGGUGGAGUAUGUGGUUUAAUUCGAUGCAACGCGAAGAACCUUACCAGGGUUUGACAUCCUGCGAAUCUCUUGGAAACAGGAGAGUGCCUUCGGGAACGCAGUGACAGGUGCUGCAUGGCUGUCGUCAGUUCGUGGCGUGAGCUGUUAGGUUAAGUCCUAGAACGAACGCAACCCUCAAGUUUUUUGCUGUGAUUCAAAUAACUUACUGCCAGUGAGAUACUGGAGGAAGGGGAGGAUGACGUCAAGUCCGCAUGGCCCUCAUGAAUUGGGCUACACACGUGCUACAAUGGUGAUGACAAAAGAGCAAUUUGGUCACAAGGAGCAAUUCUCUAACCAUCACCUUAGUUCGGAUUGGUCUCUGCAACUCGAGACCAUGAAGUCGGAAUCGCUAGUAAUCG